rnacentral:tRNA from 1 species
ACCUGGCUGGCUCAGUCGGUUAGAGCAUGUGACCCUUGAUCUUAGGGUCAUGAGUUCGAGCCCCCUGUUGGGUG